UCGAACGAACUCUGGUAUUGAUUGGUGCUUGCAUCAUGAUUUACAUUUGAGUGAGUGGCGAACUGGUGAGUAACACGUGGGAAACCUGCCCAGAAGCGGGGGAUAACACCUGGAAACAGAUGCUAAUACCGCAUAACAACUUGGACCGCAUGGUCCGAGUUUGAAAGAUGGCUUCGGCUAUCACUUUUGGAUGGUCCCGCGGCGUAUUAGCUAGAUGGUGGGGUAACGGCUCACCAUGGCAAUGAUACGUAGCCGACCUGAGAGGGUAAUCGGCCACAUUGGGACUGAGACACGGCCCAAACUCCUACGGGAGGCAGCAGUAGGGAAUCUUCCACAAUGGACGAAAGUCUGAUGGAGCAACGCCGCGUGAGUGAAGAAGGGUUUCGGCUCGUAAAACUCUGUUGUUAAAGAAGAACAUAUCUGAGAGUAACUGUUCAGGUAUUGACGGUAUUUAACCAGAAAGCCACGGCUAACUACGUGCCAGCAGCCGCGGUAAUACGUAGGUGGCAAGCGUUGUCCGGAUUUAUUGGGCGUAAAGCGAGCGCAGGCGGUUUUUUAAGUCUGAUGUGAAAGCCUUCGGCUCAACCGAAGAAGUGCAUCGGAAACUGGGAAACUUGAGUGCAGAAGAGGACAGUGGAACUCCAUGUGUAGCGGUGAAAUGCGUAGAUAUAUGGAAGAACACCAGUGGCGAAGGCGGCUGUCUGGUCUGUAACUGACGCUGAGGCUCGAAAGUAUGGGUAGCAAACAGGAUUAGAUACCCUGGUAGUCCAUACCGUAAACGAUGAAUGCUAAGUGUUGGAGGGUUUCCGCCCUUCAGUGCUGCAGCUAACGCAUUAAGCAUUCCGCCUGGGGAGUACGGCCGCAAGGCUGAAACUCAAAGGAAUUGACGGGGGCCCGCACAAGCGGUGGAGCAUGUGGUUUAAUUCGAAGCUACGCGAAGAACCUUACCAGGUCUUGACAUACUAUGCAAAUCUAAGAGAUUAGACGUUCCCUUCGGGGACAUGGAUACAGGUGGUGCAUGGUUGUCGUCAGCUCGUGUCGUGAGAUGUUGGGUUAAGUCCCGCAACGAGCGCAACCCUUAUUAUCAGUUGCCAGCAUUAAGUUGGGCACUCUGGUGAGACUGCCGGUGACAAACCGGAGGAAGGUGGGGAUGACGUCAAAUCAUCAUGCCCCUUAUGACCUGGGCUACACACGUGCUACAAUGGAUGGUACAACGAGUUGCGAACUCGCGAGAGUAAGCUAAUCUCUUAAAGCCAUUCUCAGUUCGGAUUGUAGGCUGCAACUCGCCUACAUGAAGUCGGAAUCGCUAGUAAUCGCGGAUC
rnacentral:rRNA from 2 species